AUGAACAGAAGAAAGACCAAUGGAGACUCAGUGACCCAGACAGAAGGCUCAGUUACCCUCUCUGAAGGAGCAUAUGUGAUCCUGAACUGCACUUACCAGAGCAGCUAUACAAAUGUUUUCCUUUUCUGGUAUGUUCAAUAUCUCAACAAGUCUCCUCAACUCCUCCUGAAAAGUGCAACAGACCGCCAGGGGACAGAGAAUGACGGUUUCCAGGCCAGUCUUGUGAAGAGUGAAAAGUCCUUUCACCUGAAGAAACAUUCACUCCAUGUAUCAGACUCAGCUGUCUACUACUGUGCCCUGAGUGACACAAAGCGUCUUAGUGCUCAGUGA